GACGUAGGGUCCAAGCGUUGUCCGGAUUUACUGGGCGUAAAGAGCGCGUAGGCGGCCUGUUAAGUGUAGAGUGAAAUCUCCAGGGCUCAACCCGGAAACUGCUCUGCAUACUGGCAGACUGGAGUGAUGCAGAGGUUUGUGGAAUUCCUGGUGUAACGGUGAAAUGCGUAGAUAUCUGGAGGAAUACCGGUGGCGAAGGCGGCAUCCUGGACCGGCAUUGACGCUGAUGAGCGAAAGCUAGGGGAGCAAACGGGG
rnacentral:rRNA from 1 species